rnacentral:pre_miRNA from 1 species
UCAUUCGUAGCUGAGCAUGGUUCUUAGUCAUGUGGCAUGUAAGAGAUUCAUGACUAGAACCAUACUCAGCUAUGUGACCCGGCAUUCUUAA